GUCGUAACAAGGAAUCCGUAUGGACAACCUGCCUCAAGGCUGGGGAUAACAUUUGGAAACAGAUGCUAAUACCGAAUAAAACUUAGUGUCGCAUGACACAAAGUUAAAAGGCGCUUCGGCGUCACCUAGAGAUGGAUCCGCGGUGCAUUAGUUAGUUGGUGGGGUAAAGGCCUACCAAGACAAUGAUGCAUAGCCGAGUUGAGAGACUGAUCGGCCACAUUGGGACUGAGACACGGCCCAAACUCCUACGGGAGGCUGCAGUAGGGAAUCUUCCACAAUGGGCGAAAGCCUGAUGGAGCAACGCCGCGUGUGUGAUGAAGGCUUUCGGGUCGUAAAGCACUGUUGUAUGGGAAGAACAGCUAGAAUAGGAAAUGAUUUUAGUUUGACGGUACCAUACCAGAAAGGGACGGCUAAAUACGUGCCAGCAGCCGCGGUAAUACGUAUGUCCCGAGCGUUAUCCGGAUUUAUUGGGCGUAAAGCGAGCGCAGACGGUUUAUUAAGUCUGAUGUGAAAGCCCGGAGCUCAACUCCGGAAUGGCAUUGGAAACUGGUUAACUUGAGUGCAGUAGAGGUAAGUGGAACUCCAUGUGUAGCGGUGGAAUGCGUAGAUAUAUGGAAGAACACCAGUGGCGAAGGCGGCUUACUGGACUGCAACUGACGUUGAGGCUCGAAAGUGUGGGUAGCAAACAGGAUUAGAUACCCUGGUAGUCCACACCGUAAACGAUGAACACUAGGUGUUAGGAGGUUUCCGCCUCUUAGUGCCGAAGCUAACGCAUUAAGUGUUCCGCCUGGGGAGUACAACCGCAAGGUUGAAACUCAAAGGAAUUGACGGGGACCCGCACAAGCGGUGGAGCAUGUGGUUUAAUUCGAAGCAACGCGAAAACCUUACCAGGUCUUGGCGUCGUUUGAAGCUUUUAAAAUAAAAGUGUUCUCUUCGGAGA
rnacentral:rRNA from 1 species